rfam:Picea glauca, whole genome shotgun sequence.
GUGGCUGUAGUUUAGUGGUGAGAAUUCCACGUUGUGGCCGUGAAGACCUAGGCUCGAAUACCAACAUCCACA